AAGUCCCGCAACGAGCGCAACCCUUAUCAUUAGUUGCUACGCAAGGGCACUCUAAUGAGACUGCCGGUGACAAACCGGAGGGAAAGGUGGGGAUGACGUCAAGUCCUCAUGGCCCUUAUGGGUAGGGCUUCACACGUCAUACAAUGGUCGGUACAAAGGGCUGCAAGACCGUGAGGUUGAGCGAAUCCCAGAAAGCCGGUCUCAGUUCGGAUUGGAGUCUGCAACUCGACUCCAUGAAGUUGGAAUCGCUAGUAAUCGCGGAUCAGCAUGCCGCGGUGAAUACGUUCCCGGGCCUU
rnacentral:rRNA from 1 species